UUUCUCAACGACAAAAGUAGCACAAUAAGACUCCAAUGAAGUAGUAGUCUCUUUCUUUUCCUCACCAAUACCAUUCUUGCUCCUAAUUUCUCUUCUGUCAAACACCAAUUUUACUACAGAUUCAGUUAAGCAUUCACUCAAACAUAUAAUCUACAUACCAGUUUUGUCUUCUCAGUUGUUCCUCAUUCGCCGAUUGGGUCGCCGGUUUCCGGCAUGGGACUCCGGCAUAUCCGAAAACCCACCUCGUAUACAUCGAAUUUUUUUCACCGGAGCUCAAAAUUUAAGCCAACACAAUGAUGAUACUCAAAGACACACUGAAGUGGAUAACAAACCAUUCUUGCUCCUAAUUUCUCUUCUGUUAAACACCAAUUCUACUACAGAUUCAAUUAAGCAUUCUCUCAAACACAUAAUCUGCAUACCAGUUGUGUCUUCUCAGUUGUUCCUCAUUCGCCGGUUGGAUCGCCGGUUUCCGGCAUGGGACUCUGGCAUCUCCGAAAACCCACCUCGUAUACAUCGAAUUUUCUUCACCGGAGCUCAAAAUUUAAGCCAACACAAUGAUGAUACACAAAUACACACUGAAGUGAUAAUAAGCUCAGCAACAGUAUAAUAGACCUAUAAAAGCUCCUAACUUUUUUCGCCUUUUUU
rnacentral:lncRNA from 1 species